rnacentral:lncRNA from 1 species
CUUUUGACACCAUUUUCAUGGUCCACUGAACAUAGAAAUUAAAAGUAUGAGUUUCAGGUUAAAGUUUUUGGUCAAGGUAGUUUUUGAUGAAGCUGAAGUCCAAUCAACUUGAAACUUAGUACACAUGUUUCUUAUGAUAUGAUCUUUCAUAUUUUUAAACCAAAUUAGACUUUUGACCCUAUUUUCAUGGUCCACUGAACAUAGAAAUUAAAAGUGUGAGUUUCAGGUUAAAGUUUUAGGUCAAGGUAGUUUUUGAUGAAGUUAAAGUCCAAUCAACUUGAAACUUAGUACACAUGUUCCUUAUUAGUUGAUCUUUUUACUUUUAAGGCCAAAUUAGAUUUUUUACCCAAUUUCACGGUCCAUUGAACAUGGAAAACGAUAAUGCGAGUGGGGCAUCCGUGUACUUUGGACACAUUCUUGUUUACCAAUAAAUCCUUAUAGUGUAACAUUUAUAAUACAAGUACAUGUAAGCUAAACAGAGGAUGGAC